rnacentral:rRNA from 1 species
UGCCCGGUAGCUAAGUGCGGAAGAGAUAACCGCUGAAAGCAUCUAAGCGGGAAACUUGCCUCGAGAUGAGUCUUCCCUGGACACUAGAUGUCCCUGAAGGGCCGUUGAAGACGACGACGUAGAUAGGCUGGGGGUGUAAGCGUAGCGAUACGUUGAGCUAACCAGUACUAAUGACCCGAGAGGCUUAACCUUACAACACCGAAGGUGUUUUGAGAGUGUGAAGGGCCGUUGAAGACGACGACGUAGAUAGGCUGGGUGUGUAAGCGUAGCGAUACGUUGAGCUAACCAGUACUAAUGACCCGAGAGGCUUAACCUUACAACACCGAAGGUGUUU